rnacentral:tRNA from 1 species
UGCAGCGUGGCUCAGUGGAAAGAGCCUGGGCUUUGGAGUCAGAGGUCAUGGGUUCGACUCCCGGCUCUGCCA